CAAAUAAACCCCAAACCCAAAAGUUUACCCACUCAAUUAUUCUCUCUCCUCUCAACUCACAAACCCACAAAACAAUUCACGUGAAUCACUCUCACCCUUCACGUACUUCUUCUUGCUCCUUGUUGAACCAGCAAACCACCUCCGUCAGCCCUCCACCACAGAACAGCGCCGCCGUGGCCGCCGACCACCUACCCCGUCGACCGUCGCACUAGCCGUCGCUGCAGUCAGGCCGUUGCUUUGCUUCUCCUCCUCUUUGUUUUCUCCUUUCGCACGCAACCAGCGAAAUCAACAGCCACCCGCGCCACCAGUUGCGGUGUCCAACCUCCGAGACCACCCUGACCCCUCUGCCGCGAGCGACCCUGCCGCAGUCGUGCCUCUGUCCGCCGGCUAGCACUUUCUCCCCCUCCUUUAUUUGGAGGAGAAUUCUCUUUAAGCAACUUUUGAAAGUGUCAAAGUGGCCUAUCAGUUUGUUUACUCAAGUCUCUAAGGAUCAAUAAGCAUUGUCCAUCUGCAGGUUUGAAGAUGUUGCAUCAUUGAUAUCGGGAAUAGAGAGCUUGUAUUUAGUUUUGAUUUGCUAAGUUGACUUGGGUUUGUUUAAUUGGACUUUAAACUUGUUGAACUAGAUACACUGAUCUUAUUUUCGUUGAUUGGUUUGGGAUUAACUAUGUAGUUCAUUAUUUAUAAACCUAAAGUUAUUUUAAAGUUUUCCGCUGCAAAAUUCUGAAUAAGCCGAUACGUUUUCACACGAGCGAUAAUGCCUUGAUAAUUCUCUACGUUUUAUAUAAAAAUGGUGUUUUAGAAAAUGGAGAAUUGUCGGGGUGUUACAUAUACAGUGCUAAAGAAGGAGAGAGAAAGAUGGACAAAAGAGAAAGUAUAGGGUGAGCCGGUGAGGUCGUAGGGUGUACGUUUAUGCUAUUUUGGUUUGGUUAAGUUUUCAAAGCAUCGGUUUGAUUAGUUUUGUUGUUUGACACACGCGCAAAAGAUGGAUCGUUGGUUGAAAUAGAUUGUAAGGCUGGGAUUACUUCUCAUUCUUCCCAUUAUAAGGAUUUUCUCAUUGGAUAGCAACCCCGUAUAUAUAUAUAUAUAUAUAUAUAUAUAUAUAUAUAUAUAUAUAUAUACAUAUAUAUAUAUAUAUAUAUAUAUAUAUAUAGGACCAGGUUCUGGUGAGAACCUCUCUUAAGAUGAGAAUCACCUUAUAAUGAGAACCUCUACAAACCGUUAGAUUUAGGUGAAACAAACGGCUGAGAUCGUAUCUCGCGAAUUAAAUCAUGCGCGGCUCUUUUCAAGCUCCUUACUGAGCUGAAAUUUUCUCUCUCUACAACCCUCAUUCUCUCCUCACUCACGUUCAUUUCUCUCUCCUCACUCAAAUUCAAACGCAAUCGUCUCUUUCCUCAACCGUUUUGCUUGAAAUUACACUUCAAAAACCGCCAAUUAUAUCUUAAUUUCACGAAGAUUACAAAGAUUUUGAGCUUGAACAUUGCAUUUUCUGGUGCCGGAGCUUCCAUUUUUUCGGCGACUGAACUUCUAAGGUAUCAUUUGAAUCUGCAAAUUGAUCUCAACACAGUUGUUAUUUGCUCAAGUACCAGAAUUCGUUAAUGUUCGGCUUGAAUUUGUGAAUUCGUCAACAAAAUGCUGCGAAGUUAAAGUAGAUAAUGAGAAUAAAUAAUAAAAGGCUAACCAAAAGAUUGGUGUGUAGCCUGUGCAGUGCUUGGGUGUGGAAGAAGAGUUACUUCUGUGCUGCUAUUUUUGUCAGUUGCAGCAUGUUGUGUCACUUGCAGUCUGCUAGUUUCCAAUAGCUUAGUGAUUAUUUAUGUGGCUUGUGUGUCUGUUUCGUUUUUGUGGCUUGUUGGGUUGUAAUGCUUCUAUGAAGUUUGUACUCUUAUUUUGAUUUCAAUAUAUUCUUAUUUUGCCCAAAAAAAUGUAAACCUUAAUCUUUAUAAUAUUAGAUGAGUUAUAUUUCUUUGUAA